AGAGUGAACGCUGGCGGUAGGCCUAACACAUGCAAGUCGAACGGCAGCACAGUGGUAGCAAUACCAUGGGUGGCGAGUGGCGGACGGGUGAGGAAUACAUCGGAAUCUACCUUUUCGUGGGGGAUAACGUAGGGAAACUUACGCUAAUACCGCAUACGCCCUUCGGGGGAAAGCCGGGGAUCGGCAAGACCUGGCGCGGAUAGAUGAGCCGAUGUCGGAUUAGCUAGUUGGUGAGGUAAUGGCUCACCAAGGCGACGACUCCGGUAGCUGGUCUGAGAGGAUGAUCAGCCACACUGGAACAGAGACACGGUCCAAGUACCUACCGUACGGGAGC
rnacentral:rRNA from 1 species